CGGAGGCGGGGCCAGCGCGGGCUGGAAGUGAGCGUUGAGAACUUGCAGGCUAGUCCCUGGGCCGCUGCGAGGGCUGGAGGAGCUACUCAAAGACGCCCGCUAAAUGUUAACAGCGCUCAACACUGCUGCUUCAAACGCCUCCCCGGCCUUGUCAGCUUGACACGCGCGGCGGGUCGGAGGCUCACUGGACCAGAAACUUGUCUGGCAGGACGGACUGGUUGGCCCCGCGGCAUUCCAGCCCAGUGUCAUCACCUUGAAAACAGGAGAUGCUUUUGCCUCACUGGGCGUCCAGAGGUGCGUCGGCCAACAAUUCCGAUCACAACCGCAGCGCCGUCUCCCAGAAACUCAGUACUGAAUCUCACAAAGGUCACCACCUAGGAUCCCAACACAGUGUGAGAUGCUAUGGGACGCCGUUGCCCUCCAGCUAGUCUCUGAGCAGUGGUGGACCUUGGGCUGCCAAAGCGGGAACAGGAAGGGCACAAGAUCUGCAUUAAUUCUAGUCUUAAUCCUGUUAGAAGGUGAUUAGUUUUCUUGACAUGUAUCCGCCACCCGGUCAUUACUGACAAGCUAACAAAUGAAAAAAAGAGAGAAACAAAGAGAAAAAAGAAAAAAGGCGGGCCUUCACACAGGACAAGGUUCAGGAGAGCACCCUUAUAGAAAUAGAUCAACUAUGUAAAUUCCUCAAGGUCUUUACUGACACGGUAAAACCUCUACAGGUAUUAUCAAAGAGAAGAUGAGAACCUUGAACUGAGAGGACCUCACAAGCCUGUAGUGAAGGAAGACCCUGUUGCCAAGAUGAGGUGCAGACGGUGGAGUUAAUCAUUCUCCUCAGUUCCUACUUGGUGAAUGUUUCAUGCAUCCGUGUGAAGAGAGUCCACCAAACAGGCUUUGUGUCUUUACCUCUCAACUGAACCCUGAACUCCUGGAGAAUAGAUGCUGUCGGGAAAUCACCAGCUUCUCACAAAGCAAUGAUCGUUGAAUAAAUCCUUGUUAAAUAAUGACAGUUUUCCUUUUUGGAUUGCUGUGAUCUCUACUCCCAUCACGACUGCUAAGCCUUGGGCAGGAGACCUUGUAUUCCCAGCCAGCUAUUCUUCCCACCGCCAUCCGUAGUUGGUCUCACUAUGUUGUGCAGGCUGGCCUCAAACUCCUGGGCUCAAGGGAUCUUCUCAUCUCAUCCUUCCAAAGGGCUGCGAUUACAAGUCUGUUUUAGGCACAUCUUGUAUCCCUCUUGCCUCAACUCUGGAAUUGGUUACCACUACUUCUGAACUGGGUGGCAGCUACAGACAGAGGUGGUAAGGGAGUAAUUGCUUAGGAUUGGACUGAGCUGAAGAAUGUUUAGCCUGGCGGUACUAGUGCAACUGGAAGAACAGAUGAACCAUAGUUUGCAACACAAAGCCAAGUCAACCAACAGAAGAAAUAUAUAUUUUAAGAAGAUUUUAUAUUUUCAACUGAAAACGUUCAUGUCAGUUGUGAAUGUAUUUGUAAUUGGCAGCCCCAAAUCAUCUCCCUUUUUAUUUUUGAGAAAGUGUAGUGUGCUUUAGUAUUUGGAACAUUCAUUUAAACCUAUUAAAUUAUAUUUUAAAAUGCACUGUUCCCAUUUCAAUCAAAAUUGGUUUUAUACUAUAUAUUGUAACACUAAAGUGCUUCUGGUAAUUUGCUUGUAAAACCAAAACUCUUUUAAAUUUAUCCACUUGUCCCUUUCAGAAAUGACGUGUUUGUGCAUAGGACUUGUUAGUAUUCUGAUUCAAACAAAACUACAGUACAUGUAAAAACAUAUUUAUAGAACAUAAAUAAGAAAAUGUGAACCCUGAAGAAUAUUUGAUGGAACUAAUGGACUAUUCUAAUUUUUAUGUGUGAAAAUGAUAAUGUGAUUUUUUAAAAGAGUCCUUCUUUUUUAGACAUGCACACUGAAAUAAUUAUAGAUGAAAUUAUGCAAUGUCUGUGAUUUGUUUCAAAAUAGUCUGGUGCUUAGGGAGAGAGAAGUGGGUGGGGAGAGAGAUGAAAUAAGCUUAGUUAUGAGUUGGUAAUUGUUGAAGCUGGGUCCUAUAUAUAUAUGGGGGUAAGGUCAUAUUCUAUUCUACUUUUGCAUAGAUUUGAAAUUUUUCAUAAUAAAAAGUUAAAAACAAAUCACACACCAAAAAAACUCCCAAACCCAACUGUCAUUAUUUAAUAACUUUGAACUUGGUAUGGACCUAAGAAGGCAUCUUUUACAAGGGAAAUGUGCAGUUCCAAGUCUUUUUCUUGAUGAUUGGGUCUGAAUGUGUUAAUCAAUGCUGCCCUGUCAUAGCCCCGACAUAGGGAAAAUGCUGAAAUGUGAUUUUUAAAUCAUAAAAAUGUGCCCAUAGUAAUAGCUCCAUCUUUUGCACAAUAUUUAAAUCAAUUCAUUGAUUUCCAGUUGCCUGAUAUUCUUAUUUCAGUAACAAAAUAAACGAUACAUAGUUCAGUAAAGUUGAAUCCAUUUGGGUUCAUUUGUGCUCGAAGUCUGAAGCCAAGUAAGAUCUGCUUCUUAGCUGCAUGUCAGGGGAUAAGGCAUCAGUCUCUUUGUAAGGCUUGGUUUCCUUUUUUUUCUUUUAUCGUACAGUUUCUAACCACGUUCAUGAAUAGAUAAAUUAAGGACAAAAUACAUCUAUAUCCCUCCUUGGCUCUUUGUUUAUUUGCAUAUACAGAAUUACUAAUAUAGUCCAUGUCUGUAAAUGUCUUAAAAAUGUCUCCAUUAAAAAAAUCCAGAAAAAUGA
rnacentral:lncRNA from 1 species